CUCCCACGUAAGAACCCAAUUUGCUCUCAAAAGACCUGCAAACGUAAGACAAGAAAACCAAAACGUGGAUGAAAAAAAAUGGGCCAAAUCAAACAACUUUUAAAGAUCGCAAAUACUAAGCUAGCUAGCAAGACAAACAACUGGAUCCAUUGUACUUCUGCCUUUCCUAAACCCACUCUGAUGUUGAGAGAAGAGUGUUUUACUUUAAAGGUGCACUGAUCUGAGCGGAGGUGUUCCCUACUGACGGAGGAUGUCCUCAGAAUGUGACACUGUAAUUAAUGCUUAUCUGCUGAAAUCCUUUCCAGUGAAAAUGUGUUAACAAACGCAUCACUGAGUGAAGGAAUGUUUUAAAUGAAACCAAAGCAAAAUAACUAGAAACAGACAUCGGAAUUAUUCCACUCGCUUAGUGGUCAAACACUUGGAUUAUAAAAUAUUUUCAGUCGGUUUGUGUUCUUAAGUGCCUAAAUUUGAAUCCCAUGGAUCAGUUUACACUCUCCCUGAUUAUAAAGUCAUCACCAGCUUCUUAUUUGCUUUUUUGCACAAUCAGAAACUUCUUUGUAUUCACUCUUUUGCUGUUAUAUAUAUAUAUAUAUAUGAAUUUCCUCAUUCAUAAUUGUGUUGAUUUAACACUGAGGGGCCAGCUGUUGGUUUUAAAGUGAUGUCUUAAAGUCCAUGGAGCAGCGCAUCUUAAAUUUAAAUCCAGAAGUACUAAAUAUUGCCAAACACGCUGCAGUUUACCGACUAUUCAUUAUUUUGGAAACACAAUGUUGAAGUGUCUGCAUGUGACACAUUGUUUCUCCUGUUUCAUAUUCUCUUUCGAGCAUGCUCUGCCUUACCGCAUGUUUCCUCCAUGUACUUUGCAUCAAAAUGUCUAUUUUUACACAGUUUACUUUUGUGCCAUCAAACCCCCCUUGCUUUAAAAUGUAGUUUUAAGUUAAAAGUUUCUGUAGGAAAAGGUUCUUUUUCAUUAAUUCAUCUUCUUCUUCCCUUUCGGGGUCGCGGGGUGCUGGAGCCUAUCCCGGCUACUGAUGGGCGAAGGCGGGGUACACCCUGGACAGGUCUCCAGUCUGUCUCAGGGCCUCAACC